ensembl:snRNA U6 U6 spliceosomal RNA
GUGUUUGCUUCAGCAGCAUGUAUGCUACCAUUGGGACAAUACAGAGAAGAGGAGCAUGGCCUCUCCACAAGGACACAUGUGAACUCAUCAAGCAUUCCACAUUUGG